GUGUGUGUGUGUGUGUGUGUGUGUGUGUGUGUGCUCUUUGACGAGGAAAUAAAGGUGCCGUGUCCAUAGCAAAGGUUCAUGCAUAUUUUAUUCAAGAGUAAAAAAGUGGAUCGUCCCAUGGGGCAUGCGUACAGUGUUUGUGACUGGGGAAGAAAGCGAGAGAGAGAAAGAAAGAGAAAGAACCGUGGCACAUUUCCUAUGGCACAGGGUCUCCCAGGGGGCUUCCACAGUCCCAAAGAAGCACAGCAAGAUCAACCGAGGAACAACGCAACGUGAAGAGCAACCAGUAGACAGAGAGCUUAAAUAUUAAGAAUAAUGUCCAUAAUAAUAAAUAGAAUCAUAAAUAUCAAAUAACAUGAGGAGUCCUCAGGAAUUAUGAUCAGAAAGAAUACACGUUUUCCUUUUAAUUGUGACGGCAUCACACCGGCUUUUCAGUCAUAAUGUGUCUUACUGCUUUUAUUUUUCAUCAGUGCAGUUUUAACCAUGCAAGCAUGCUUUUGGCUGCCUGGACCUCUAUAGUGUGACUAUUCAUCAACGCCAGUUUAAUAUUUGUUAUUCAUAUUAUCCUUUAAAACAACUCCUGUACAUCGGCAAAGAAGAGAUUAGAGGAUGUGGACUGACAUUCUGGAUUAGAAACGCACCGUCGUUCUGUACAGCGUGGAAAAGAAACCUGAACGUGUCCAACAUAGGUCACGAAGAAGAAGAA